rnacentral:rRNA from 1 species
GACGAACCGUACGAACGUUAUUCGGAAUCACUGGGCGUAAAGGGCGCGUAGGCGGCGCGACAAGUCAAUGGUGAAAGCCCGAGGCUCAACUUCGGGUCGGCCACUGAUACUGUUGGGCUUGAGCACUGUAGAGGCAGGUGGAAUUCCGGGUGUAGCGGUGGAAUGCGUAGAGAUCCGGAAGAACACCGGUGGCGAAGGCGGCCUGCUGGGCAGUAGCUGACGCUGAGGCGCGACAGCGUGGGGAGCAAACAGG